rnacentral:rRNA from 1 species
GGACCCUACGGGACGCAGCAGUGAGGAAUAUUGGUCAAUGGCCGAGAGGCUGAACCAGCCAAGUCGCGUGAGGGAAGACGGCCCUACGGGUUGUAAACCUCUUUUGUCGGGGAGCAAAGCGAGUCACGUGUGACUCAUUGAGAGUACCCGAAGAAAAAGCAUCGGCUAACUCCGUGCCAGCAGCCGCGGUAAUACGGAGGAUGCGAGCGUUAUCCGGAUUUAUUGGGUUUAAAGGGUGCGCAGGCGGAGGUGCAAGUCAGCGGUCAAAUUGCGGGGCUCAACCCCGUCGAGCCGUUGAAACUGGG